rnacentral:rRNA from 1 species
CACGUAGGGCGCAAGCGUUGUCCGGAAUUAUUGGGCGUAAAGAGCUCGUAGGCGGUCUGUUGCGUCCGCUGUGAAAACUCGGGGCUUAACCCCGAGCCUGCAGUGGAUACGGGCAGACUAGAGGUAGGUAGGGGAGAAUGGAAUUCCCGGUGUAGCGGUGAAAUGCGCAGAGUAUCGGGAGGAACACCGGUGGCGAAGGCGGUUCUCUGGGCCUUACCUGACGCUGAGGAGCGAAAGCGUGGGGAGCGAACAGG